AUUGAACGCUGGCGGCAGGCCUAACACAUGCAAGUCGAGCGAGCGGCGGACGGGUGAGUAAUGUCUGGGAAACUGCCUGAUGGAGGGGGAUAACUACUGGAAACGGUAGCUAAUACCGCAUACCAUCAGAUGUGCCCAGAUGGGAUUGGCUAGUAGGUGGGGUAAUGGCUCACAUAGUCGACGAUCCCUAGCUGGUCUGAGAGGAUGACCGGCCACACUGUGACUGAGACACGGCCCAGACUCCUACGGGAGGCAGAAGUGGGGAAUAUUGGACAAUGGGCGCAAGCCUGCUCCAGCCAUGCCGCGUGUGUGAAGAAGGUCUUUGGAUUGUAAAGCACUUUAAGUUGGGAGGCGUUACCAACAGAAUAAGCACCGGCUAACUUCGUGCCAGCAGCCGCGGUAAUUC
rnacentral:rRNA from 1 species